rnacentral:rRNA from 1 species
UGAGGAAUAUUGGUCAAUGGGCGCAAGCCUGAACCAGCCAUCCCGCGUGAAGGAAGAAGGCGCUAUGCGUUGUAAACUUCUUUUCCAGGGGGAGAAUUUUUCCGUCGUGACGGGAAUUGACGGUACUCUGGGAAUAAGCAUCGGCUAACUCCGUGCCAGCAGCCGCGGUAAUACGGAGGAUGCGAGCGUUAUCCGGAUUUAUUGGGUUUAAAGGGUGCGUAGGCGGAUAGAUAAGUCAGUGGUGAAAUUCUGCAGCUUAACUGUAGACUUGCCGUUGAUACUGUCAGUCUUGAGUAUGGUCAAGGCAGGCGGAAUGUGUAAUGUAGCGGUGAAAUGCUUAGAUAUUACACAGAACACCGAUUGCGAAGGCAGCUUGCUGGGCCAUUACUGACGCUGAUGCACGAAAGCGUGGGGA